AGAACGAACGCUGGCGGUGUGCCUAACACAUGCAAGUCGAACGAGAAAGCGGGCUUCGGUCCGUUAGUAGAGUGGCAGACGGGUGAGUAACACGUGGGUAACCUGUCCGGAGGCGGGGGAUAACCCUUCGAAAGGAGGGCUAAUACCGCAUAAUACUCGCCGGGUUUCGGCCUGGCGAAUCAAAACUUGCCUCUACAUGUAAGCAAGUACCACCGGAGGGGCCCGCGGCCCAUUAGCUUGUUGGCGAGGUAACGGCUCACCAAGGCGACGAUGGGUAGCCGGCCUGAGAGGGCGAUCGGCCACACUGGAACUGAGACACGGUCCAGACUCCUACGGGAGGCAGCAGUGAGGAAUCUUGCGCAAUGGGGGAAACCCUGACGCAGCGACGCCGCGUGGAGGACGAAGGCCUUCGGGUCGUAAACUCCUGUCAAGUGGGACGAAUCCGAGGAGAUGAAUAAGCUUUUCGGUUGACGGUACCAUUGAAGGAAGCCCCGGCUAACUCCGUGCCAGCAGCCGCGGUAAUACGGGGGGGGCUAGCGUUGUUCGGAAUUAUUGGGCGUAAAGGGCGCGUAGGCGGCCUGGCAAGUCGGACGUGAAAUCCCGCGGCUCAACCGCGGAACUGCGUUCGAAACUGUCAGGCUUGAGUCCCGGAGAGGGUAGCGGAAUUCCCAGUGUAGCGGUGAAAUGCGUAGAUAUUGGGAGGAACACCAGUGGCGAAGGCGGUUACCUGGACGGGUACUGACGCUGAGUCGCGAAAGCGUGGGGAGCAAACAGGAUUAGAUACCCUGGUAGUCCACGCUGUAAACGAUGGGCACUUGGUGUUGCGGGUAUCGACCCCUGCAGUGCCGAAGCUAACGCAUUAAGUGCCCCGCCUGGGGAGUACGGUCGCAAGGCUG
rnacentral:rRNA from 1 species